GAUGAACGCUGGCGGCGUGCCUAAUACAUGCAAGUCGAGCGAACGGACGAGAAGCUUGCUUCUCUGAUGUUAGCGGCGGACGGGUGAGUAACACGUGGAUAACCUACCUAUAAGACUGGGAUAACUUCGGGAAACCGGAGCUAAUACCGGAUAAUAUUUUGAACCGCAUGGUUCAAAAGUGAAAGACGGUCUUGCUGUCACUUAUAGAUGGAUCCGCGCUGCAUUAGCUAGUUGGUAAGGUAACGGCUUACCAAGGCAACGAUGCAUAGCCGACCUGAGAGGGUGAUCGGCCACACAGGAACUGAGAAACGGUCCAGACUCCUACGGGAGGCAGCGGUAGGGAAUCUUCCGCAAUGGGCGAAAGCCUGACGGAGCAACGCCGCGUGAGUGAUGAAGGGCUGCGGAUCGUAAAACUCUGUUAUGAGGGAAGAACAUAUGUGUAAGUAACUAUGCACAUCUUGACGGUACCUAAUCAGAAAGCCACGGCUAACUACGUG
rnacentral:rRNA from 1 species